rnacentral:rRNA from 1 species
AAUUGACGGGGGCCCGCACAAGCGGUGGAGCAUGUGGUUCAAUUCGACGCAACGCGAAGAACCUUACCUGGGCUAGACAACGGCGGACCGUCCUAGAAAUAGGAUCUUCCCUUCGGGGACUGCCGGUUCAGGUGCUGCAUGGCUGUCGUCAGCUCGUGCCGUGAGGUGUUGGGUUAAGUCCCGCAACGAGCGCAACCCUCGUCCUUAGUUGCCACCAUUCAGUUGGGCACUCUAGGGAGACUGCCGGCGUUAAGCCGGAGGAAGGUGGGGACGACGUCAAGUCAUCAUGGCCCUUAUGUCCAGGGCCACACACGUGCUACAAUGGGCGGUACAAAGGGUCGCAAACCCGCGAGGGGGAGCCAAUCCCAAAAAGCCGUUCUCAGUUCGGAUUGGAGUCUGCAACUCGACUCCAUGAAGUUGGAAUCGCUAGUAAUCGCGGAU